UUCUCAUUUGUCAGUUCCAAAAGGAAUUGGAAACUGGUGGUUUCUGCCUAGUUACCUUCCUCAUUCUCACAGCCUUGGUUAUUGAUUCCAUCAGCUCAGCUCAUUGACCUAUAAAUGCCAGCAUCUCUUGAACAUCUUCCAUCUCUUUCCCAGACCAUCCACAGUUGGCUGCCAAGCUUUGCAAGUUUUAUUUCUGAAAUGUUUCUCAAAUUCUUUCUAGGUCCAGGAGGACCACCUGCACCAUCUCUUACUGGAUGAUAGCCACUCUCUACAGAUGUAGUCAUAGCUGGUAUCUCACCAGCAGAUGCCAUGAUUCAAUUCCACCGUAACGACAUUGGGUAGUGUUUGUCAACUCUUCUCCUAGUCAGAAGGAUGUAAAAACAAUUCAGAAACAUACUGGAAAUCUUCAUGAGUAGGUCACAUGAUGAUCACCUCUGUGGUUUGAAGUCAGGAAUCUUCAAAGGAGUGGGAUAAUUCUGCAAGAACUCCCACAUUCUUAGUGAUUGCACACUGCAGUCUGAUCAACCCUCACGAAAAGGACAGCUGCUUCAUCUCGACAAACCCAUCGUUAUAAAUCACACGAUGGAAUAUUACACAGCAAUGACAAGGAAUGAACAACGGACCAUAAAACCACGUGAGUAAAGCUCAAAAACAUUCUGUGGAGUUGAAAAGUACGCGGUGUAUGAGUCAAUUUAUGAAAUUCAAGAACAUAUAGAGCAUGGUAUGACAGAAGUCAGCAUAAUGAAUACUUGUGUUGUGAAGACUGACUAGGGAAAAAGAUGGAAAGACUUUCCGAGUGAUAGAAAUAUUCUGUAUCUUUAGCUCAUUGACAGACAGCUAAAAAUUGACCUGGAUGUACACUUCAGAUUUCUACAUUGCACUGUAUUUACAUUACGCUUCAAUUUUUAAAGGCAAAGGAAAGAAGAUGGUGACCCCUGUGGUAGUAGUGGAUGUUUCUCAGUGGUCUGAAUUUUAGAGAUUUUCCUGGCAUUAUGAAAAAAAAAUGCAGGAUUUUUAACAUAUAUGGCUAAGAGAAGUUGAAAAACAUAGCUAAAACGCACUUAAAAGCAAAACAACACAAAACAUUAGCAUAGGUUUUGUACAUCCUAGUUCCUCUCCCUCUCCUUCUCUUUCUCUCUUUUGUUUAAAUGCUGGAAGUGAACAACAAUUGUUUUAAUAUUAAAAUAACUGCACAAUGUCAA